rnacentral:tRNA from 1 species
GCCCGGGUGGUGGAAUCGGCAGACACGGCAACCUGUCAAGUUGCUGGCCGAAAGGCCGUGCGGGUUCGAAUCCCGCCCUGGGCA